rnacentral:rRNA from 1 species
AACGAACGCUGGCGGCAGGCCUAACACAUGCAAGUCGAGCGCCCAGCAAUGGGAGCGGCGCACGGGUGCGUAACGCGUGGGAACGUACCUCUUGGUACGGAAUAACACAGAGAAAUUUGUGCUAAUACCGUCUAAUAUCUCCGGAUCAAAGAUUUAUCGCCAAGAGAUCGGCCCGCGUUGGAUAAGCUAGUUGGUGAGGUAACGGCUCACCAAGGCUACGAUCCAUAGCUGGUCUGAGAGGAUGAUCAGCCACACUGGGACUGAGACACGGCCCAGACUCCUACGGGAGGCAGCAGUGAGGAAUAUUGGACAAUGGGCGAAAGCCUGAUCCAGCCAUGCCGCGUGAAUGAAGAAGGCCUUAGGGUUGUAAAGUUCUUUCAGUGGUGAAGAUAAUGACGGUAGCCACAGAAGAAGCUCCGGCUAAAUUCGUGCCAGCCGCCGCAGUAA